GCGGCGUGCUUAACACAUGCAAGUCGAACGGAAAGGCCCUGCUUUUGUGGGGUGCUCGAGUGGCGAACGGGUGAGUAACACGUGAGUAACCUGCCCUUGACUUUGGGAUAACUUCAGGAAACUGGGGCUAAUACCGGAUAGGAGCUCCUGCUGCAUGGUGGGGGUUGGAAAGUUUCGGCGGUUGGGGAUGGACUCGCGGCUUAUCAGCUUGUUGGUGGGGUAGUGGCUUACCAAGGCUUUGACGGGUAGCCGGCCUGAGAGGGUGACCGGCCACAUUGGGACUGAGAUACGGCCCAGACUCCUACGGGAGGCAGCAGUGGGGAAUAUUGCACAAUGGGCGGAAGCCUGAUGCAGCAACGCCGCGUGCGGGAUGACGGCCUUCGGGUUGUAAACCGCUUUCGCCUGUGACGAAGCGUGAGUGACGGUAAUGGGUAAAGAAGCACCGGCUAACUACGUGCCAGCAGCCGCGGUGAUACGUAGGGUGCGAGCGUUGUCCGGAUUUAUUGGGCGUAAAGGGCUCGUAGGUGGUUGAUCGCGUCGGAAGUGUAAUCUUGGGGCUUAACCCUGAGCGUGCUUUCGAUACGGGUUGACUUGAGGAAGGUAGGGGAGAAUGGAAUUCCUGGUGGAGCGGUGGAAUGCGCAGAUAUCAGGAGGAACACCAGUGGCGAAGGCGGUUCUCUGGGCCUUUCCUGACGCUGAGGAGCGAAAGCGUGGGGAGCGAACAGGCUUAGAUACCCUGGUAGUCCACGCUGUAAACGGUGGGUACUAGGUGUGGGGUCCAUUCCACGGGUUCCGUGCCGUAGCUAACGCUUUAAGUACCCCGCCUGGGGAGUACGGCCGCAAGGCUAAAACUCAAAGGAAUUGACGGGGCCCCGCACAAGCGGCGGAGCAUGCGGAUUAAUUCGAUGCAACGCGUAGAACCUUACCAGGGUUUGACAUGGAUCGGGAGUGCUCAGAGAUGGGUGUGCCUCUUUUGGGGUCGGUUCACAGGUGGUGCAUGCCUGUCGUCAGCUCGUGUCGUGAGAUGUUGGGUUAAGUCCCGCAACGAGCGCAACCCUUGUUCACUGUUGCCAGCACGUUAUGGUGGGGACUCAGUGGAGACCGCCGGGGUCAACUCGGAGGAAGGUGGGGAUGACGUCAAGUCCUCAUGCCCCUUAUGUCCAGGGCUUCACGCAUGCUACAAUGGCUGGUACAGAGAGUGGCGAGCCUGUGAGGGUGAGCGAAUCUCGGAAAGCCGGUCUCAGUUCGGAUUGGGGUCUGCAACUCGACCUCAUGAAGUCGGAGUCGCUAGUAAUCGCAGAUCAGCAACGCUGCGGUGAAUACGUUCCCGGGGCUUGUACACACCGCCCGUCAAGUCAUGAAAGUUGGUAACACCCGAAGCCGGUGGCCUAACCGUUGUGGGGGAGCCGUCGAAGGUGGGACUGGUGAUU
rnacentral:rRNA from 1 species